rnacentral:rRNA from 1 species
CCUACGGGUGGCAGCAGUGAGGAAUAUUGGUCAAUGGGAGAGAUCCUGAACCAGCCAAGCCGCGUGAGGGAAGACGGCCCUAUGGGUUGUAAACCUCUUUUGUCGGAGAACAAAACCCGGGACGAGUCCCGGACUGCGUGUAUCCGAAGAAAAAGCAUCGGCUAACUCCGUGCCAGCAGCCGCGGUAAUACGGGGGAUGCGAGCGUUAUCCGGAUUUAUUGGGUUUAAGGGGUGCGUAGGCGGUCUGUUAAGGCAGCGGUAAAAUUGCGGGGCUCAACCCCGUCGAGCCGUUGAAACUGGCAGACUUGAGUUGGCGAGAAGUAUGCGGAAUGCGUGGUGUAGCGGUGAAAUGCAUAGAGAUCACGCAGAACGCCGAUUGCGAAGGCAGCAUACCGGCGCCCGACUGACGCUGAGGCACGAAAGCGUGGGGAUCGAACAGGAUUAGAUACCCGUGUAGUC